rnacentral:rRNA from 1 species
UGAGCGGAGAUAUAUGGAGCUUGCUUUAUAUAACUUAGCAGCGAACGGGUGAGUAACACGUAGAUAAUCUAUCCUAUACUGGGGGAUAGCCCGAUGAAAGUUGGAUUAAUACCGCAUAUAGCUAUAUAGUUGCAUGAUUAUGUAGUGAAAGAUUUAUUGGUAUAGGAGGAGUCUGCGGCACAUUAGCUAGUAGGUGAGGUAAAGGCUUACCUAGGCGACGAUGUGUAGCCGGUCUGAGAGGAUGAACGGCCACAAUGGAACUGAGACACGGUCCAUACUCCUACGGGAGGCAGCAGUGGGGAAUAUUGCACAAUGGGGGAAACCCUGAUGCAGCAACGCCGCGUGAGUGAAGAAGGUUUUCGGAUUGUAAAGCUCUGUUAGCAGGGAAGAGGAAGGACGGUACCUGCAGAGGAAGCCACGGCUAACUACGUGCCAGCAGCCGCGGUAAUACGUAGGUGGCAAGCGUUGUUCGGAAUAACUGGGCGUAAAGGAUGCGUAGGCGGUUAAACAAGUUAUAUGUUAAAUAUAUAGGCUUAACCUGUAGAAAGCAUAUAAAACUGUUUAACUAGAGUGCAGGAGAGGUAAGUGGAAUUCCUAGUGUAGCGGUGAAAUGCGUAGAGAUUAGGAAGAACACCAGUGGCGAAGGCGACUUACUGGACUGUAACUGACGCUGAGGCAUGAGAGCAUGGGGAGCAAACAGGAUUAGAUACCCUGGUAGUCCAUGCUGUAAACGAUGGGUACUAGGUGUGGGUUGUGAAUAACAAUUCGUGCCGUCGCAAACGC